rnacentral:rRNA from 1 species
CAGCAGCCGCGGUAAUACGUAGGUGGCAAGCGUUGUCCGGAAUUAUUGGGCGUAAAGCGCGCGCAGGUGGUUUAAUAAGUCUGAUGUGAAAGCCCACGGCUCAACCGUGGAGGGUCAUUGGAAACUGUUAAACUUGAGUGCAGGAGAGAAAAGUGGAAUUCCUAGUGUAGCGGUGAAAUGCGUAGAGAUUAGGAGGAACACCAGUGGCGAUGGCGGCUUUUUGGCCUGUAACUGACACUGAGGCGCGAAAGCGUGGGGAGCAAACAGGAUUAGAUACCCCAGUAGUCCCUGUCUCUUAUAC